rnacentral:rRNA from 1 species
GAUGAACGCUAGCUACAGGCUUAACACAUGCAAGUCGAGGGGCAGCAUGGUCUUAGCUUGCUAAGGCCGAUGGCGACCGGCGCACGGGUGAGUAACACGUAUCCAACCUGCCGUCUACUCUUGGACAGCCUUCUGAAAGGAAGAUUAAUACAAGAUGGCAUCAUGAGUCCACAUGUUCACAUGAUUAAAGGUAUUCCGGUAGACGAUGGGGAUGCGUUCCAUUAGAUAGUAGGCGGGGUAACGGCCCACCUAGUCUUCGAUGGAUAGGGGUUCUGAGAGGAAGGUCCCCCACAUUGGAACUGAGACACGGUCCAAACUCCUACGGGAGGCAGCAGUGAGGAAUAUUGGUCAAUGGGCGAGAGCCUGAACCAGCCAAGUAGCGUGAAGGAUGACUGCCCUAUGGGUUGUAAACUUCUUUUAUAAAGGAAUAAAGUCGGGUAUGGAUACCCGUUUGCAUGUACUUUAUGAAUAAGGAUCGGCUAACUCCGUGCCAGCAGCCGCGGUAAUACGGAGGAUCCGAGCGUUAUCCGGAUUUAUUGGGUUUAAAGGGAGCGUAGAUGGAUGUUUAAGUCAGUUGUGAAAGUUUGCGGCUCAACCGUAAAAUUGCAGUUGAUACUGGAUAUCUUGAGUGCAGUUGAGGCAGGCGGAAUUCGUGGUGUAGCGGUGAAAUGCUUAGAUAUCACGAAGAACUCCGAUUGCGAAGGCAGCUUGCUAAGCUGCAACUGACAUUGAGGCUCGAAAGUGUGGGUAUCAAACAGGAUUAGAUACCCUGGUAGUCCACACGGUAAACGAUGAAUACUCGCUGUUUGCGAUAUACAGCAAGCGGCCAAGCGAAAGCGUUAAGUAUUCCACCUGGGGAGUACGCCGGCAACGGUGAAACUCAAAGGAAUUGACGGGGGCCCGCACAAGCGGAGGAACAUGUGGUUUAAUUCGAUGAUACGCGAGGAACCUUACCCGGGCUUAAAUUGCAGAUGAAUUACGGUGAAAGCCGUAAGCCGCAAGGCAUCUGUGAAGGUGCUGCAUGGUUGUCGUCAGCUCGUGCCGUGAGGUGUCGGCUUAAGUGCCAUAACGAGCGCAACCCUUGUUGUCAGUUACUAACAGGUUCCGCUGAGGACUCUGACAAGACUGCCAUCGUAAGAUGUGAGGAAGGUGGGGAUGACGUCAAAUCAGCACGGCCCUUACGUCCGGGGCUACACACGUGUUACAAUGGGGGGUACAGAGGGCCGCUACCACGCGAGUGGAUGCCAAUCCCAAAAACCUCUCUCAGUUCGGACUGGAGUCUGCAACCCGACUCCACGAAGCUGGAUUCGCUAGUAAUCGCGCAUCAGCCACGGCGCGGUGAAUACGUUCCCGGGCCU